AGUGGGAUAGCUGGGUCAAAUGGUGGUUCCAUUCCUAGUUUUUUGAGGAGUAGCCAUACUGCUUUCCAGAGUGGUUGUCCCAAUUUGCAGUCCCAUUAGCAAC
rnacentral:pre_miRNA from 1 species